CAACCACCAAGCCAAUACCACUUUGGACAUGGCCUUGCCAGUCCUUCAGGCCUCCACUUAAUUACCAUCUAAUUAGUGUGGCCUUCCUGAAUCCCCUGCUCCUUAAGAGUUCUGCUCUUCUUUUCAGCUCUUAACACAAUUGUAAUUAUAUAAUUUUCCAGCAAUGUUUAACAUCUUUCUCCCUCUGAUCUUAAACUCCAGAUGGCAGGGACCAUGUGUAUCUCAAUCACGGCUGUAUUCUCGGUCCUAGUAAACUUUCUGGUGUAUAAAUAUCUGUUGAAUGGCUAGAUGGGGUGGGGCUUCUCUGAGGAGAGAGGGAAGGAAGGAAUGAGUGGGUUUGAAUGAAUGAAUGAAGGUGAGAAUGAAUGGAAAAUGGCACUGCAGUCCAUUAAAACCUGAGGGACAAAGUUCAGCUCAUUGGAGAUGACCCACAAUUUCAGACUGGAUUGUGGAUUCUAAGGCUGAGGAGAGGAGAUGGUGCUAAGAACUUGUUGUGGUUACUCUGGGCAAUCAAAGAGCACCUCCUGGAGACAGAGUGUGGAUGUUUCAAGCUCCUUCCCAGGGGGCGCUGCACAAGGUAGAGGGAGCUCACUCAGGAGGGUAAGUUGAAAUAUUAUGAUUGGCUGAAGAGGCAAAGUCCCUGUUUGCAGGUUAUGGGAUGUUAAAGAGUAACUUGUGGUUUAUCAAAGCUGGUUGAAUUGAGUCUGAAACUCACUAUUAUGAGUAGAAUUGCCCCCCCCCCCCAAAAUGAUAUGUUGAAGUCCUAACCCCCAUUCCUCAGAAUGUGACCUUAUUUAGAAAUAAUGUUGUUGCAAAUGGACUUAAACUUAAGAUGUAGCUAUACUGGCAGGCCCUAAUCCACUAUGAUUGGUGUCCUUAUAAGAAGAAGAGAACAGACAGACGAGUCAAAGAAGGUGGCCGUUGAAGAUGGAGGCAGAGACUGGAAUUACACUGCCACAAAUCCAGGGACUCCUGGGACCACCAGAAACCAGAAAAGAGGCAUGAAAUCUCUAGACAUUUCAGAGGGAGCACGACCCUGCCAACACCUUGAUUUUGGACUUCUAGCCUCCAAAACUGUGAAGACAAUAAAUUUCUGUUGUUUUAAGCCAGGCAGUUUGUGGUACUUUGUUAGGGACGCCCUAGGAAAUGAAUACACUCACCAAUUGCAACAAUGGCCUAGACUGAUUGACUGAAGCCUUGGAGUCAAUGGCACAGCUCUCUACUUGGACCUGCUGUCAGGAACCUGGCCUUACACCUCACAGAAGACUCCCAGCUCACCUCAGCGUCCAAUCCAGAGCACCUGUCAGAGAAGUCUCCACUGCACUCAGAGCCUCAGUUCCUCACGGUAAAAUAAAGCAAUUGGUUGGAGAUCUCAAUGUCACUGAUGUUUCAUAAUUCCAGGAUUCUGCCCCAAACAGUUCUUCUUGUUAGACAAGUGUUUAGGCAAGCCAGAUGGGAAAUGGGAGCCAGUUGAGGAGGUGGGGAAAAACUCUGGGUGGGAAGCAUAGAUUCUGAGAUCUGAGCCUCUACUUGAAGGAUCCUUGGUCCACCAAGCUCUGUGGGCCUCCUCAGCUGGAUACAUUCACACUCUAUCCAGAGAUCAAAUUGGUUUCCCUCCACCAGCUCAGUCUUCUCAGGGCCUAAAGCCCCAGCAUCGGUGCUUCUCCUUUGGGUAGGAUGUUGAAAGCCCCUGUGGGAGGAUAUGCAUUCAUUAUUACUUAAUGUUGACUAUGUGCUCUGAGUACACAGAGUUCAGAGCAAACAUGACUCCAAUAAGGCUCCUCAGUAAGUGGCUUUCAGACCAGAGGUGAAGACAAGCUUGGGAAAGGAGGAGGAGGUAGAAUUUUGAAGGAGACAUUGACUCAGGCUCUCAGCUGCCCCUCUAGUAUCCAUGACACUGAUGGAAAUAUCUAGUACUUUAGAGGUGGAGCCUGUCCCGGAAGAGCCCUGAAGUCCCCCCACUCUGUCCUUCCAGCUUCUGAGGUCACCAGUGCCUCCCCUUACUUUCAUCAAUAAUGUCAACAACGACAGCAACCAGCUCCCCUCAUACACACAAUACAAUCAACUGGGCACUUUCACCCCCACUGUGGUACUCCUGGAAGGCAAACCAGGAAGGAGCAGUCAGCCCCAUUUAACCCAGGAGCAAAGCAACUUUUCCAAGGUCAUGCAAGGAGUCACUGGCUGAGCAGCAUUUGAAACCCAGGUCUUUGGAUUCCAGGCAUGGCACCUUGUUCCUGGUCCCAUCUCAGCCUCGGCCUCUGUUCUGCCCUACCCAGCAGUUACUAAAAAGAGUCACCUUAGAGGGACACAGAAGGCAGCUGUGACUUGGGCUCAAGAGCGCUGGAUAUGGCCCUGCUUGGCUGGUCUGGAUGUUGGAAGUUCCAUCCUUGGUGUGCCAAGGCUUUAUUGUACCUCCUUGGGGAAUGCAGUCUCCCUGUGGUAGUAGAAUAAUGGACCCCUAAAGAGAUCUCCUCCUAAUCUCCCAAACCUGUGACUGUUACCAUAUGUGGCAAAAGGGACUUUUGUGAGUGUGAUUAAGUGAAAGAUUUUUAGAUGGAGAAAUUUUCCUGGAUUUUUUGGGUGUGUCCAACGUCAUCACAAGGGUCCUUAUAAGAGGGAGGCAGGAGAGUGGAGUCAGAGGAGACAUGAUGAUGACAGUUGAGUCAAAGUGAUGUGGCCACAAUUGAAGGAAUGCAAGCAGCCUCCAGAGGCUGGAAGAGAAUCUCGGUACAGAUUCUCCUUUAGAGCUCCCAGAAAGAAUACAGCCUUGCUGAUCCAUUUUAGGCUUCUGACCUCUAGCACUGUAGCAUAAUGAAUUAAGUUGUUUUAAGCCACUAAAUUUGUCAUAAAUUCAACAGCAGCAAUAGGACACUAAUAUACCUUCCAUUGACCCUUCAUGUCCUCAGCCUCUCAGAGUGAGGGAGGGAGAGAGCAUCGUGCCCACCUCCUUCAAAUUAUAGGUGAGACCCAAAGAAGGGAAGCAACUUGAGGAAGGCACACAGUGAAUAGUCAGUAGCCAUGCUGUUCCUGACUGCAGUUCAGGUCUAUGUUCACCCCACCUCUAACAGUCCCUCUGCCUAUCCCCAUUCUGCUUUUUCCUUUUUUGUUUUCACUUUUCCUUAUUGCUUCACUUCAUUUAACUGAUCUAGCCACACCUUGCAAGAAAUGAAUUGGGGAUGUGAGUCAUUCAUACCCUAGUGUGAAUUAGCAGGUAAUAAGGCAGACCUGGGGAAGCUGUGUAAUGGGACUUUGGGGGACUCCAGAGAACUAUACAGGGGUUGGGGAGGAAGGCUUCAUGGAAGAGAGACAGCAAGGGCAAGGUCACCUGGCUUGCCCUACAAUGAACCCGAGGGACACAGAGGCAAACCACGGCCUGUCUCUAGGGCAUCACAUCAUCUUUUUGGCAACUUCCUGAGGCCACUGGGCUGGGCUGGCCCCAGCCUCAAAUUCAUGAGAACCUCUGCUGGAGCAGUAAUGUCUCCUCCUGAGGAUCCAGGGCUCACCUCCCCAGGCCUCUCAGAGAAGCUGCAGUGGAGGCAACGAGAGGGAGGAUAUUGCUACAACCAUCUAAACAAGAGGCAGCCACGUUAGUUGAACUCCUAUGAACUGAGGACUUACAUGUAAUUUUCUCAUUUAAUCCUCACCAUAAUCUGAUGAAGCAGUACUAUUACAAUCCCCAUUUUCCAGAUGAGAGAACCAAGGCUUGGAAAGGUGAAGCCCAGUUGACCCCAGCCUCAGAUCAGUAAAUGAUGGACCCAGGAUGGAAUGGCCAUAGCAAUACAAGGUGAAACUGGUGAUCUCUCUCCAAAACCCCUCUCUCCAUGUGAGCCAAACUUGGAUUUGAAGAGUUAGACUCUGACGUGGGACUUCUGGCUCCAGCAAUGAGUGCCAGAGAAGAUUCGGGGCCAGUGACAUGCUGGAGACAGCUUCUACUGGCUUGUGAGAGCCUCUUUCCAACUCUGCAUUCACUGACAUUAAGUUGCUAACCUGAAAUUGGCCCUGGUAGAGAGUAUUUACACCACAGCAAAUGCUACAAAUCAGAUUUUGCCUCCCUCCCCUCCCCACUCCACACAGCCCCCUGUCCCCCACCCCAACCCCUAGA